AAUUACAACAUUUUCAGCAGCACUGUGUGCUGAUCUCAGACACAAUGUGCAAAGAGCACUUCUAAGAGAGGGAAGGUGAUUCCUUAGAUCACAGUAACCGUAGGGCUAGGGAUGUCCCCUUUGCAGGGAGAGGAUGGUCCAUGUUUCUGUGUCUUGAAGAGGAAUUUAAGGGCAGUUCAGUGAAGGGCACAGAUAUUACCUGAUGUACAGGGUUGAGGUUGGAUCCACCUCCCUGAACCCUCUGGUUUCAGUGAGGUGGCAGCAGGGUUUCUCGUCUAAAGAACAGAGAGUGGAAACGCGUUAUGCAAACUGUGAGUUGCUAUAAUACCUAACAUCAGUAACCCUGCUCCCAUAGCUGUGGCUGCGACUAUGACUUUAAGUAACUGAUAAUUUUGACUAACAAAAGGUACACGCAGCUUUCGCCCACAUCCAUGGAAUUGCAUCUGAAUCAAACCCAGGAGAGUCAAGCCCAGCGCGAUGUGAAGCGAUGUAUCUGUACCCCAGCUACUUUCAAAUGCCAGCUUCAGACACCGAAGCGUCUUCUUUCUUUUCUUUCUGACUGGCGGUGGAGCUUGCUUUGCUGGGGAUGAUUCUAAGCCUUUUUUAUUCAUUUGGAUUUAUUUCUAAAACCAGUUGGUAGCAGGGUCAGAGUGAGAGCAGGUUAGUCACCAUAUAUAACCCUUCACAUUAUUAGGAAGGGCAUAUUUAUGCAUAUAUAUACAUACAUCUGUACAUGAGGACUUACUGUGUAGAACUAAGUCAAAAGGGAGAAAAAGGAUGGUGAGAAACAAGUCAUACUGAACAACACUGGUUUUCCUUCACUAUUUGGUGGAUCGCAUUGCCUGGUGAGACUUGCUAGAAGCAGUGGGACCUUACCUUGUUGGUGUCAUUCUGGGUGUUGCUAAGCAACAUGAAGUGGUUAAAAUGGAGCUACAGAAGAAGAGCACGGAGGAAUAAAGGCAACAAAAGACAUAGAAAAAGCAUAAAAGAGAUGAAAUGUGCCAGCACAUUCUGCAACGAAGUUGCUAAGUAUCAACUGGGAAAAAGGCAGUGAUUAAGAUCAUAGCGAAAAAAGAAAGCUGACACAAGUUGAAUGAGGAACUUGAUUCCGUACUUCACAUUCAAUCAAAUUUUUCAGUGCUUUGCUUGAAUAGUUGAUUGCAGUUUUGGUCCCAAAUGGCAAAAGUAGUGGCAAAAGAGAAUGAGAGCCUGGGAAGACAUGGGAGGCCUGGGAAAAAUUAAAGUGGAACCUCCAUACCAUAAAUGAAAAGAGAAAAGGAAUCACUCUACGUGUUGCUGGAAACCAAACAAUGGAACAGCAAGGCACUCUCCUGCAUACACUGUGUACUCUAAUUUUGCUUCAGAUAUUCUCUAAGGUUGUAAGGAAAACAUGCUAAAAUGGAUAUGGUUCUUCCAUCAUAUCUUUCUGUGAUGCAUGCCAAAUGCAUGUUUCUCAUUGUCCAGCAUAGGAAUGUUGGUCACAUUCUGUAUUAAAGCUUUUCAGCUGA
rnacentral:lncRNA from 1 species